UGCAAGUCGAGCGAACGGACGAGAAGCUUGCUUCUCUGAUGUUAGCGGCGGACGGGUGAGUAACACGUGGAUAACCUACCUAUAAGACUGGGAUAACUUCGGGAAACCGGAGCUAAUACCGGAUAAUAUUUUGAACCGCAUGGUUCAAAAGUGAAAGACGGUCUUGCUGUCACUUAUAGAUGGAUCCGCGCUGCAUUAGCUAGUUGGUAAGGUAACGGCUUACCAAGGCAACGAUGCAUAGCCGACCUGAGAGGGUGAUCGGCCACACUGGAACUGAGACACGGUCCAGACUCCUACGGGAGGCAGCAGUAGGGAAUCUUCCGCAAUGGGCGAAAGCCUGACGGAGCAACGCCGCGUGAGUGAUGAAGGUCUUCGGAUCGUAAAACUCUGUUAUUAGGGAAGAACAUAUGUGUAAGUAACUGUGCACAUCUUGACGGUACCUAAUCAGAAAGCCACGGCUAACUACGUGCCAGCAGCCGCGGUAAUACGUAGGUGGCAAGCGUUAUCCGGAAUUAUUGGGCGUAAAGCGCGCGUAGGCGGUUUUUUAAGUCUGAUGUGAAAGCCCACGGCUCAACCGUGGAGGGUCAUUGGAAACUGGAAAACUUGAGUGCAGAAGAGGAAAGUGGAAUUCCAUGUGUAGCGGUGAAAUGCGCAGAGAUAUGGAGGAACACCAGUGGCGAAGGCGACUUUCUGGUCUGUAACUGACGCUGAUGUGCGAAAGCGUGGGGAUCAAACAGGAUUAGAUACCCUGGUAGUCCACGCCGUAAACGAUGAGUGCUAAGUGUUAGGGGGUUUCCGCCCCUUAGUGCUGCAGCUAACGCAUUAAGCACUCCGCCUGGGGAGUACGACCGCAAGGUUGAAACUCAAAGGAAUUGACGGGGACCCGCACAAGCGGUGGAGCAUGUGGUUUAAUUCGAAGCAACGCGAAGAACCUUACCAAAUCUUGACAUCCUUUGACAACUCUAGAGAUAGAGCCUUCCCCUUCGGGGGACAAAGUGACAGGUGGUGCAUGGUUGUCGUCAGCUCGUGUCGUGAGAUGUUGGGUUAAGUCCCGCAACGAGCGCAACCCUUAAGCUUAGUUGCCAUCAUUAAGUUGGGCACUCUAAGUUGACUGCCGGUGACAAACCGGAGGAAGGUGGGGAUGACGUCAAAUCAUCAUGCCCCUUAUGAUUUGGGCUACACACGUGCUACAAUGGACAAUACAAAGGGUAGCGAAACCGCGAGGUCAAGCAAAUCCCAUAAAGUUGUUCUCAGUUCGGAUUGUAGUCUGCAACUCGACUACAUGAAGCUGGAAUCGCUAGUAAUCGUAGAUCAGCAUGCUACGGUGAAUACGUUCCCGGGUCUUGUACACACCGCCCGUCACACCACGAGAGUUUGUAACACCCGAAGCCGGUGGAGUAACCUUUUAGGAG
rnacentral:rRNA from 1 species